CACCCAGCAAGGGAGGAAAGUGGUCAGACCUCCGUCCGGAGGAGGCCUCUUCCAUUCUCUCUGCGUACAAUUGUAUGCGCACAGGCAGGUGCGCAGGCAAUGGAAGGACAGACACGCAGGGGCGCAGGCAAUGGACGGACCGACAGGCAGGGGCGCAGGCAAUGGACGGACCGACAGGCAGGGGCGCAGGCAAUGGACGGACCGACAGGCAGGGGCGCAGGCAAUGGACGGACCGACAGGCAGGGGCGCAGGCAAUGGACGGACCGACAGGCAGGGGCGCAGGCAAUGGACGGACCGACAGGCAGGGGCGCAGGCAAUGGACGGACCGACAGGCAGGGGCGCAGGCAAUGGACGGACCGACAGGCAGGGGCGCAGGCAAUGGACGGACCGACAGGCAGGGGCGCAGGCAAUGGACGGACCGACAGGCAGGGGCGCAGGCAAUGGACGGACCGACAGGCAGGGGCGCAGGCAAUGGACGGACCGACAGGCAGGGGCGCAGGCAAUGGACGGACCGACAGGCAGGGGCGCAGGCAAUGGACGGACCGACAGGCAGGGGCGCAGGCAAUGGACGGACCGACAGGCAGGGGCGCAGGCAAUGGACGGAC